rnacentral:misc_RNA from 1 species
AGGAGGAAAACGUAAUUAUGUCUUGUGAAUCCGCGCUAGAACGAAUAUGGGGGGGAGAGACGCCAUGGCGUUGUUUACAUCCCGGGGCCCAGUAGCAGGUCCCAGCCUCUUCCUUCUCGGGUGAUUUCUAGAGUAAAUAAUUGAGAGAAGACUACAAGUGUGUCCCAUCCCUGAAUUGGGAGUUCCCUGCUUUGUGCUUUUAAGUCAGGCCAACAGGUUGAGACACAAGCUGUUUUGGUCAGGACUUGAGGAUGUUGACCAGAGUCCGCUAAUAUCCUUCAAUAUUUAGUGUUACAGACACCUGCUCCAAGUGAUACGCCAUGACAGAAGUGUUCCAGUUCGGCCUCGUGCCCAUCGCUUGUCGUGCCCGGAAUGAGGACCGCAGCCGUGAGUACCGACCUAUAUGAAGUUAAAUAGCACUUGCCUGGCAGAAGUGGCAUUGAGUCUCAACAACAAUGAAGUGAAUAUAUAUGGCAGAGCUGCAUCAGAGUGGAAGCUUCAGGAAACACUCCAGGGUCAUGAUCUGCGUGUCACAGGCAUUGACUGGGCUCCCAGCACCAAUCGCAUUGUUACAUGUGGAGCAGUGACCUUCCUGGAAAUUACCGAGACUUAGUGUGCUUUGAAAAAGUCUUCUGGAGAGUGGGUCCAGGACUUACACCUGCAAACUUCCUGUUUCUUGGGUUGAGAAAAGAUGUAUACUACUCCCACGAGGAAAGAACGACUAUCUUUGAUUAUAUCGU